rnacentral:lncRNA from 1 species
GGUAAUUGAAGAGAUUCGUUACAUGUCAAUUCAAAGGUCAGCCAUUGGAAAAGUGAGCUCUCAGCGCAUUUUAAGCAAUAAAACAGUGACCUUCCCGGCGCACAAUAGCAAGAUGCGAUUUCCGCCGGAAAUGGCCAGACGCGGGCGAAAUGCAGCUCCGACGACCACAAUAACUCAUCCCCAGCUCGUCACCCCUGCUCAUGGUGUCACUACGACACUCGAACCCCUGACAUUUGGG